CUGAGAUUAUUGCUUUUAAGAGGAGAGCUUGGUGCUGGUUUAGAAUUCUGAGAGUGGGUGUGUGUGCUUGCCUUUAGAAGCACUUCAACUCCUGAGCUUGAGGUUUUCUUGGUGACCAUAGUUGCAGUCCUGGGAUCUUGCUUCCUCUUUGGUUGGAGCUAGGAGGAGUAAGUCCUAGCCAUGUGCACAUGUUUUCUGUAAUAGCGCUACCGUUCCGACUGCGGUCGAAGAUCCAGCUCCGGCUGUUGAUAUUCUAUUUUGUUCCGACUUCACAGUCGAUGAUCCAGCUUCGUGCUGUUGAUUUAUGUUAUCAGUCAGAGAGAUGUACAUGUCUGUUUUCUGCGUGUUUUCUGUAUUUCUGAUUAUUUCUGUAUUCUGUCUGAAUUAUUAAUUAUUCUGUUAUAUCUGUAUUAUUCUGUUAUUUUCUGCGAUCCUACUUGUGGCUCAUGUACUCUGUGAAUUUUUUCUUUCACAUGAGAAAAUCAAGCUUAGGAUCGGUGGGUUGUUCUGGGGCUCCUUCUAUAAUUGUGGACUUGUCAAACAUCUGUUCUUGAGGUUGUGAAACCUGGGUGUUAUUUUUAUUCUGUAUGAGAGACUUGUAUCUUAUUUGUAUUAUUUGGCUUGUAAACUACUUGUGUACUCUGUUGGACUCUCUUAGUCCAUAUCUUAUUAUCUCUAUUUUUGU